GGAAAGUCAGUAUUGGGACUGGGGUUAUUUAUAAGCCAAGCAACUGGUUAAUUGUGGUUAAUUGUCUGGUGUGUUUGCUUGUCACAUAGUUGUAUAUGCCAUACUGGUUUUUCAUCACAGGCCCCUAUUCACCCCCACUGCCAUCGGAGUUCCUCCUCCUCCCCUCGCAGGAAUUGUUUCGAGAAUUUUUCAAUCUAAAAUGGUGUAGCUUGUGAGAAAUACAGGCAAACAUAACAUAGAAUAUUUAAAUAACUGACCCACCACCCAAAGAACAUCAGUGCUAAUUCUUGGUGUUUUUAACCUUUGAAGCUUUUGUUUAUCAGCUCUUCCACCAUCCGACUCUCCCCUUCCCAGGUCCCCGAUCUAAAAUCAGAGACUGAUUUAGGAUGGGUGGGUGCCUUGUCCUAUCUCAUUGUCUGACAUUUUAAUUACGUUUUUUUCUGAGCUCUCCGGAAAUCACAAAAGUAUAAUAUCGGUUAAAAAUUGGAUGAAUAAACGAAUAAACGCAAUGGGAUUCCAGAAACUGCGGCAAAUGGGGUAGAGGACGAGUAGGAGGUGGAUGAAUCAGCCAUAUUAGAGAACCUGGGAAGGUGAGCAGAGUUGAAAACUUGAUAGAUCUAAUAAUUUACUGGCUUUGGGUUUGUCAGUCACUACAUCGCAGCAAAUGAGAUUAGGGCAGAGUUGUGGGAGGGAAGGAGGUGACGCAGCAAUCUAUUUGCACCAAGAAAUUUUAGGCAAGUGACAGCUGCGCAAUCAUAUUGCGGCACCAUUUUUUCUUGCAGCAAUAGCUGCUUGCGGAGGAGGUCUGCCCACUGCGGCUCUCUGCAGUCUCUGGCUCUCUCCUGCAGGAUCCGUCCCCGCAGCCAUCGCCGCUCUCUGCACCCAGCCCAGGCCGCCACUGCUUCAGUCCGAUUCUCAAAGUCUCAAUAUCUGCAGAGCUCAAUAGAGCAAAGUAAAAUAAAACGAGGUAUAUUUCCAUUGGUCUAUAUCUCUGUUUUGGUACCAGUACCAUGCUGUUUUGAUUACUGUAGCCUUGUAGUAUAGUUUGAAAUCCGGUAGUGUGAUGCCCCCCGCUGUGUUCUUUUUGCUUAGAAUUGACUUGGCUAUGCGGGCUCUCUUUUGGUUCCAUAUGAAGUUCAUCGUGUUUUUUUCCAGUUCUGUGAAGAAAGUCAAUGGUAGCUUGAUGGGGAUAGCGUUGAUUCUGUAAAUUACUUUGGGCAGUAUAGCCAUUUUCACGAUAUUAAUUCUUCCUAACCAUGAACAUGGAAUGUUUCUCCAUCUGUUUGUGUCCUCUCUGAUUUCGUUGAGCAGUGGUUUGUAGUUUUUCUUGAAGAGGUCCCUUAUGUUCCUUGUGAGUUGUAUUCCAAGGUAUUUUAUUCUUUAUGUAGCAAUUGUGAAUGGCAGUUCGUUCUUGAUUUGGCUCUGUUUAAGUCUGUUAUUGGUGUAGAGGAAGGCUUGUGAUUUUUGCACAUUGACUUUAUAUCCUGAGACUUUGCUGAAGUUGCUUAUCAGUUUCAGGAGUUUUUGGGCUGAGGCGAUGGGGUCUUCUAGGUAUACUAUCAUGUCGUGUGCAAAUAGAGACAAUUUGGCUUUCGCCUUUCCUAUUUGAAUACCCUUUAUUUCUUUUUCUUGCCUGAUUGCUUUGGCUAGAACUUCCAGUACUAUAUUGAAUAGGAGUGGUGACAGAGGGCAUCCUUUUCUAGUGCCGGAUUUCAAAGGUAAUGCUUCCAGUUUUUGCCCAUUAAGUAUGAUAUUGGCUGUUGGUUUGUCAUAAAUAGCUUUUAUUACUUUGAGAUACGUUCCAUCGAUACCAAGUUUAUUGAGGGUUUUUAGCAUAAAGGGCUGUUGAAUUUUGUCAAAUGCCUUCUCUGCAUCAAUUGAGAUAAUCAUGUGGUUUUUGUUUUCGGUUCUGUUUAUGUGGUGAAUUACGUUGAUAGACUUGCGUAUGUUGAACCAGCCUUGCAUCCCUGGGAUGAAUCCUACUUGAUCAUGAUGAAUAAGUCUUGUGAUUUGCUGUUGCAAUCGGCUUGCCAAUAUUUUAUUGAAGAUUUUUGCAUCUAUGCUCAUCAUGGAUAUUGGCCUGAAGUUUUCUUUUCUUUUGGGUCUCUGCCGGGUUUUGGUAUCAGGAUGAUACUGGUCUCAUAGAAUGAUUUGGGAAGGAUUCCUUCUUUUUGGAUUAUUUGGAAUAGUUUCAGAAGGAAUGGUACCAGCUCCUCUUUGUGUGUCUGGUAGAAUUCGGCUGUGAACCCGUCUGGACCUGGGCUUUUUUUGUGUGGUAGGCUCUUAAUUGCUGCCUCGACUUCUGCCCUUGUUAUUGGUCUAUUCAUAGUUUCAGCUUCCUCCUGGUUUAGGCUUGAGAGGACACAGGAGUCCAGGAAUUUAUCCAUUUCUUCCAGGUUUGCUAGCUUAUGUGCGUAGAGUUGUUUGUAAUAUUCCCUGAUGAUGGUUUGAAUUUCUGUGGAAUCUGUGGUGAUUUCUCCUUUAUCAUUUUUAUUGCAUCUAUUUGGUUGUUCUCUCUUUUAUUUUUAAUCAAUCUGGCUAGUGGUCUAUUUUGUUGAUCUUUUCAAAAAACCAGCUCUUGGAUUUAUUGAUUUUUUGGAGGGUUUUUUGUGUCUCCACCUCCUUCAGCUCAGCUCUGAUCUUAGUUAUUUCUUGUCUUCUGCUGGGUUUUGAAUUUUUUUGAUCUUGCUCCUCUAGCUCUUUC
rnacentral:lncRNA from 1 species